GGCGCACACCCAGAUACAAACUAGUCAAAUAGCUUCUCCCUAGUCAAGCUAUCGUGACAGCUUUCAUCCGUCAGCAGGAUCAACAGACAACGUUGUUCUUCAAGGAGACAGAGUUAAUUUUCAAAAAAAGAAAAGGAGGGAAGAGGAUCAGCAACAAUGAAAAAUGCAAAAUCCCACAGCCCAAGAGAUGGCACAGUGGAUAAAAUGUUGGUCUCUCAAGCAUGAGAGGUGGAUCCCAGGCAUUGAAGCAGCAAUGCAGGUUCCCUUCUCCCACUCUGUAUUUCCUUCUCCUCUUGAUUUCUCUCUGACCUAUCAAAUAAAUUAAUUUUUUCAAAAGGG